AAUAAAAACUACCACAAACGAGUGUUUCUUUUAUAUGAUGGAAUUCAUUAUGAUGCAAUAGGGUUAGAAGAGAAUGGAGUUAUUACAAAAACUGUGUUUCAUACGUCUGAUAUAAACAUACAAAUUGAAGCCCUUGCAUUAGCAGAAGAUGCAAAAAAGAAACGUCAGUACACCGAUUUGGCAGGCUUCACAUUACGUUGUUUAGUUUGCAGCACCCCACUCACUGGUCAAUCUCAAGCACAACAACACGCUAAAAUUACUGGUCACAUGAAUUUCGGAGAAGUUUAAAAAAAAAGAAAA
rnacentral:lncRNA from 1 species